rnacentral:rRNA from 1 species
AACGAACGCUGGCGGCAUGCCUAACACAUGCAAGUCGAACGAGACCUUCGGGUCUAGUGGCGCACGGGUGCGUAACGCGUGGGAACCUGCCCUUAGGUUCGGAAUAACUCCCCGAAAGGGGUGCUAAUACCGGAUAAUGUCUUCGGACCAAAGAUUUAUCGCCUUUGGAUGGGCCCGCGUUGGAUUAGCUAGUUGGUAGGGUAAAAGCCUACCAAGGCGACGAUCCAUAGCUGGUCUGAGAGGAUGAUCAGCCACACUGGGACUGAGACACGGCCCAGACUCCUACGGGAGGCAGCAGUGGGGAAUAUAGGACAAUGGGCGAAAGCCUGAUCAAGCAAUGCCGCGUGAGUGAUGAAGGCAUUAGGGUAGUAAAGCUCUUUUACACGGGAUGAUAAUGACAGUACCGGGAGAAUAAGCACCGGCUAACUCCGUG